ensembl:lncRNA
AAAAAGUAGAACAAACAAUCAAAUAUGCUUCUUAACAUAUUCAUGCACAUACAAGUAUUUUUUAAUAUACAUUUAUUUCACUAUAAACACGUAAAAUAGUGAUCUUUAUCUUGCCUCCUAAUGGAGAUGUCUCUCAUGUAGUGCAGCUUGCAGAAAUGGGUCCUCCCCCCCCCAAAAUGAAAGUCACACCACCUUCAACUCAUCAUUUUAUUGGAAAGAGAUGUGUCUGGUAGCAUUAUUUGAAGGAAAAAAAGUUGUUGUUUUUUUGAAGGGCCAGUGUAAGGCAUGAAAAUGUGGUUUGUUGCCUCAGGGCAACGCUAUGCUGUAGAGGGUUUUAACGACUGAUUGUGGCUGAAGCUUGUAAAAAGCUGUCGCACUCACAGAGUUCAUCAUAUUUGCUGACUUUGGCCACAGGCGGAGAGGAUGUGAUGAUGCUCUGAUAAGAUGCUCUUCUUCUCGUUUCUGUCUUCCUCAUUUUUAGACUGCUGUGCCCCUCUGCUCAUAUAAAAACCUCCUGAACGACUGCAGAUAGAACCACUCCUUACAGCUAACUGAAGGUCACAGACCUUCCACCUGAGCAGUUUCAGGACAAACAAAGCAGUGAAGGUGGAAAAGUUUGACAUUUUUAAAAGACUUUUUAAAGAUGAAGUUGGUGCCCUGCCUCAUGCUGUAUGUCCUGCUGGCAGCUGGAACCAGUCUGGCUGUGGAUGUGAAUUGGUUAACUCGUAUUAUAAAAGCCAUAAGGACAGAGUACAGAGUAACAGGUCACUUCUGUCUGGCUGCAACCAUCCCAGAUCAACAGGACCCAAACACCCUUAUCAGUGAAGUCCUUCAUAAAGACCGCUUUAAUAAUGAGCACAUGGGAGACUUAGUUAAAGGGGGUGAGGUAUAUGUUGGCAGAAGGCUGGUUUUAGCUGUUCCCACAGGACCUGUACAUGCAGAAGGCAAAGUUCUGAAAAGCUUGGACAAACUAAAGAAACAGGGAGAGAACAACUUCCUCCUCAUCUACUCUUACCUCUCCCCAUGUAGCAAGUGCACAGACUAUAACAGUAAAUUCAACAUCCUUAACAUGAUUAAAAAACAGGUUGACAGAUGGCAUAAUGCGGCCUUUGUAUUUACAAAAGUUUUCAACAAGCCCAAAUAUGGUUCCAGAGUACCCAGAUAUGUUUUAAAAAUGUCACUGACUCAGCUUUCUAAUUCGAUGGGUGGUCUCCAGUACAUAUUUCGCUGUAAUGGACCGAGCAAUUCUGAGUUAGUGUGUCACAGCUGCUCUGUAAAUCACAGAGUUUCAGAGUUUUGUAUUAAUAACAACGCUGAGAGAGAGCGCAGCAUCAGCAGGGAAAGAAGCAGGAGCUUCAGUGGAAGCAGAGGAGGGGGCAGUAGCAGGAAGAGAGAGAUGUACAGGAGUCAGAGUGAGAGCAGCAUCAGCAGCGGAAACAGUAGAGAAGCUGGAAAACAUGCAGGUGGAGGCAGGAGCAGCAGGAAGAGAAGCAGGAGCAGCAGCAGCAGCAGCAGCAGCAGCAGCAGCAGCAGUAGCAGCAGCAGCAGCAGCAGCAGCAGCAGCAGUAGUAGCAGCAGAGGUUAGAGGAGUUCAAACAAAGCAACAUGGUCCCUGAAGACAAACUUUCUUUAAAUUUCUGUUCAAACUAA